UGGUAUGAUCAGUAUUCUGUAGCAUAUGGUUGAUAUUUUUGUUUUUACUGGAUUUUUUCAUUGUUUUGAUGAUAUGUAAUGUAUUGUAUUGUGUUUUGCUGAUCUUUAGAAGUUUUACGAGUCAUUUGAUGAAGUGUUUGAUAGGAAAUGGAUUGUCUGAGAAAGAUGAGUAUUCAGUAUUUUUGCUCUAAAAUGUGGUGCUGCCUGAUGAAGCCGUCUGCUGCACAGUGCUUCGAGUAGACCAACUGUUUUAUGGAUUGGUGGUGGUGACUGUUUUAUUAUUUUAUGAAUUAUUUUGUUGUUUUAUGGACUAGACUGUUUUAGUGACUCAAAUAUUUUAUGGACUAUUUUAGUGACUGGGGACUAUUUUAUGGACUAUUUUUAUGUAGAAAGUCUGUGAUAAUCGAUUUAUGGACUAUUUUUAUAAGUUUUGUGUUUGUUUUGUGGACAGGAUUGUUUAUGCAAAUUUAUAUAUAAUGAUCAAUGACGUUAUAUA